CUUCCAGCAGCCAGGAUUUACCACCUCUGCAGGGAGAGGCUCCGUACACCGCCAUGAAGGCCACGGGCCGGAGGGAAGGGCACCCUGGUGCCUAGAGCGCCAGGCCAUAAACCAGCCCUGUGCUCCUGGAAUAGCUCUCCUGUCUGAAACGCUUACACCGGCUUAAAUCAAAACCUUCUAAAAACCCCCCAAAACAGCUCCCCGCCUCCCACGGAGAUGAUUGGAGGCAAGAUUAGGGCUGGGAGGGGAGUGCUGAGCUCAGGCCCCAGCAAUGUCCUCACCCAUGCUGUAUUUGGCCUUGGUACACGUUGUUCUUUUCAGGAUCUCGUAGACCUGUUGCAGAGACAAGGAGGAGGGGCGGACAGUUACUUGACGCAGCACUGGCACGCAGAAGCUGUCACAGGACGGCCAAGAAGCGACGUGGUCGAGCGUUACCAGCGACAGCCACCCACUUUUCUCUAAGGACAGAUGGCAAGCCUUCCUAAGGAUGCGCAUCACCAGCGCCAAGGUCUCCACAGGCUGAAGAUCUGAGUCCCAAGACCAGCACAUCCAGCCCUUCCCGCUGAUCCUGACUCCUACCCCCCUGCACACUGGGUGACCCUGAUGCCAGGAGCAGGGGGAAGGAGGCAGGAAGGGCCGCCCAUCUCCACACCUUCACCUAGGAUGAUGUCUCCCCAACACCGGAUACUAUCAGAUCUCAAAGACCAUGGGGCCUGGCUAACCAAGGGCCAAGUUCUGAGCUGCCAGUGUCUCUGGAGCAGCGGCACUUUACAAACUGGCCUUCGAGGUCUCUGGGAGAGAGCGCCCCGCAUCCCAGAGGUAAAGCAGAUUGUUCAGUUAGUACCUAUAGACAGAGCCCCUUUCUGUGACUUGGGGUCACAGACUGAACUCUAUUCUUUUGGCAGAUUCCCAACGAGAUGGGGUCUAGAGCUUCCCAUUCACAUAUGCCCCCCAGCCCCAACAGCAAGAGCGAAUUCGUGACUUUGCACUCUGCCCUGUGCUUCUAGGGAGCACGGUGGCAGCCCCGGACAUCGUAAAAGGCUGGGGCACACAUGCAUGUUGAAACCGACAUGUGACUCGGUUUCCUUAGCUGGCCAUUCCUCCAAUUCUCUAUUUCCUAACGAUGAAGAAAAAGUAAGACUGGCUGGUUCUCCCAAGUGGCCGAUGUCCGAGGUGUUCCCCCUCACGGACACCUGUCAGCCCCGAGCUACACCAGCUGGCCAAUGUUUGCACACACACGAGUUCCUUCUCAUUUACUAUAAUGAGAUGCAAUUGCUAAGAUCAGUCAGUAACACGGUUAAUAUAAAUCAUGGUGCUGUGUCCAGGUCACCCUGUGUGGACAGGCACCACUGCCCGCUGAGCAGGAAGCCAGAGCCAUUCUUGUUCUGGUGCAGGCUCGGUGCCUCCUGAGGUCACGAGGCUGGGAGCGGUCAGAGGGCAGGCAGGUGGGACCCGGAUCUGCCUUCCCACUGGCAGCGGCCCAAGGCCCCUCACCAAUGCGACCUGUACCACCGUCCCCGCAUCUGGCCUCCUGCCAGCCUGGGGAUGUGGCCGUGAGGGGCAGUUACCUGCUCAAAGUCAGGUGGCUUCCCCCCACCCCACCCUGCAUCUCUCCCCUCCAGGCUGGGCUUUCUAGGAGGGGAGGGAGGGAGACAGAGCAGCAGGCUGUCUGCUGCGAGGUUAAUUUCUUGUGCAGAUAAAUGUUGGGUCCUGAGCCGUGCGUGGUCCAGCCUGGCUGGUGGACAAGUCGGCGGCCGAAGGAGACACACUGAACCAAUACCUUGAAGGGGGCAGGGUGGCCUGGGCAGGUUUCAGACUUGAAUUUGCUCCUCUGGCACAGGCCUGGCAGCCUACCCCAACCACGCAGCUUUGCCUGCACCGCCCCAUCACUCCUGCCAGGCCUGCCCGCUUGGAAGCGCUGGGUCCGGGGCCCCGGUAACUCGGUGAAGGGCCAGGGCAGGGGGGCUGGGGUACAGGCACUGAGGGGUCUGGAGUCCCUCUGCCCCCUUUCUGCUGCUCCACCUGGCUCUCCUCCUCCCACGCGGGGCGGAGGGGUGGGGGCUCCCCCUGGGCUCCCGCAGCCUCUCUGUUCUAUUAUUCUCAUUAUUGCUGUCACAGGCAAUUAGAGCCCGCUUCCACCUGGAGGAGUUCUGCUGAAAUGAAAUUAUCAUCCGCUUCUCCCCGGGGCCACCUUGCUGGGGAGCCAGCGACUCCCACGAGCAAUACUCACUAUCGUGCUCCGGGUUUUGCUGUCGAAAAAGGAAUCCUUGUCAGACAGGUCAAAUCUGUUGAAAAAUUGGGAAGGAAAAGACACAGUUCAUCGGAGUCGGCCCUCCUGGUCUCCAAGGCCCUGGGAAAGCAUGCUGUGCCCAUGAGCCGUGACUGUGAAAUUGGGCAAACUCCCUGUAAAGACCAGGAGGAUCAAGAAAUCGCAGUGGAGUGCAGUACAUGGCCCCUGCCCUGUGACUAAUAUGUUUGCCAGAGCAGAAGCCCCAGUGCUGAGCUGAGAAACCGUUCUCCACGUCCCGUGAGACCAGUGGCAUCCUGGAGACCCCCCCUCUCCCCCUGCUUGUCAUCAAUGUCCCUCUGGGCCCCAGAGCCCAAGCCCUCUCUGUUCCCACCACUGCCCACACUCCGGAUCUGUCCAGCGAGGCCACCACGGGCCCAGAGGGCUCUGCCCCACUGUCCCCUGGGAGCAGGGCAGGAGGGAAGGUUCCAGAACAGGUACAGAACUGCCAGGCAACCAUGCUGGCUGCGAGUCCCUGGGGCCUCAGGACUCCAGCUGGGGCUGCUCUUUAGUUCCUGCCUCGCAGAGCUGGGCAGGCUUCAGGUGGCAGGUUAACCAGACCCUCUCACUGGAACACAGCCCCAGAGGGGCGGCGCCGGGCAUAAGGGAGGAGAUGCCCAGGUCACUGCUGUGGGGCUGUAAGCCAAGGCAUGUGCACACCCUCACCCAGGCCUGUGCAGUGUUCCUAAGUGUCCCUCAGCAGAACAGGACUCUUGGUCCCUUAAUUCCUUAAUUAACGGUCAUUUUGGAAAUCAUUCUUGAACCUUUUCUGUGCUCAAGAACCAAAGCUCUUCUGAGAAUGUGCUGCAGGGGCGGAAACUCCCCACUUCUCUGGCCUUAGGGGACUGCCCUACAGCUUGUAUCUCUCGUGUCAUGUACCAGGCUGUGGGGUCUGCCCAUCAGGGCCUUGGGGA